rnacentral:tRNA from 1 species
GAGGGUAUAGCUCAGUGGUAGAGUGCAUGCUUAGCAUGCACGAGGUCCUGGGUUCAAGCCCCAGUACCUCCA